rnacentral:rRNA from 1 species
UGGGGAAUUUUGGACAAUGGGGGCAACCCUGAUCCAGCAAUGCCGCGUGUGUGAAGAAGGCCUGCGGGUUGUAAAGCACUUUAGGUGGGGAGGAAAGCCAGUUGUUUAAUAGACGAUUGGGGUGACGUUACCCACAGAAUAAGCACCGGCUAACUCUGUGCCAGCAGCCGCGGUAAUACAGAGGGUGCAAGCGUUAAUCGGAAUUACUGGGCGUAAAGCGCACGUAGGCGGUUUUUUAAGUCAGAUGUGAAAGCCCCGGGCUCAACCUGGGAAUUGCAUUUGAAACUGGAAAACUAGAGUGUGUGAGAGGGGGGUAGAAUUCCAAGUGUAGCGGUGAAAUGCGUAGAGAUUUGGAGGAAUACCAGUGGCGAAGGCGGCCCCCUGGCACAACACUGACGCUCAGGUGCGAAAGCGUGGGGAGCAAACAGGAUUAGAUACCCCAGUAGUCCCUGAGCGGGCUGGCAAGGCGCAU